rnacentral:rRNA from 1 species
AACGUGGGUAACCUGCCCAUCAGAGGGGGAUAACAUUCGGAAACGGAUGCUAAAACCGCAUAGGUCUUCGAACCGCAUGGUUUGAAGAGGAAAAGAGGCACAAGCUUCUGCUGAUGGAUGGACCCGCGGUGCAUUAGCUAGUUGGUGAGGUAACGGCUCACCAAGGCCGUGAUGCAUAGCCGACCUGAGAGGGUGAUCGGCCACAUUGGGACUGAGACACGGCCCAA